rnacentral:rRNA from 2 species
UCGACCUGAGCUCAGGCAAGAC